rnacentral:rRNA from 1 species
AACGAACGCUGGCGGCAUGCCUAACACAUGCAAGUCGAACGAGACCUUCGGGUCUAGUGGCGCAUGGGUGUGUAACGCGUGGGAACAUGAACUUAGGUUCGGAAUAACUCCCCGAAAGGGGUGCCAAUACCGGAUAAUGUCUUCGGACCAAAGAUUUAUCGACUUUGGAUGGGCCCGCGUUGGAUUAGCUAGUUGGUAUGGUAAAAGCCUACCAAGGCGACAAUCCAUAGAUGGUCUGAGAGGCUGGUCAGCCACACUGGGACUGAGACACGGCCCAGACUCCUACGGGAUGCAGCAGUGCGGGAUAUUGGACAAUGGGCGAAAGCCUGAUCCAGCAAUGCCGCGUGAGUGAUGAAGGCCUGAGAGUUGUAAAGCUCUUUUACCCGGGAUGAUAAUGACAGUACCGGGAGAAUAAGCUCCGGCUAACUCCGUG